UACGUAGGGGGCAAGCGUUGUCCGGAUUUACUGGGCGUAAAGAGCGUGUAGGCGGCCAAACAGGUCCGUUGUGAAAACUGGAGGCUCAACCUCCAGACGUCGACGGAAACCGUGUGGCUAGAGUCCGGAAGAGGAGAGUGGGAUUCCUGGUGUAGCGGUGAAAUGCGCAGAUAUCAGGAAGAACACCCGUGGCGAAGGCGGCUCUCUGGGACGGUACUGACGCUGAGACGCGAAAGCGUGGGGAGCGAACAGG
rnacentral:rRNA from 1 species